UCGUAGUUGAAUGUACACUAGGAAUUAUCGUCAACAUUGGGGGAUGUAAAUAGUAGGUCAUAAUGAUUGAGAUAAGGCCAUUGAAGGGGUCGAGGCAAACCUAGUAAGAGUGGAAAGAGACGGCCGGUGAAUUCCCAGAUACAUUAUUCUCUCUAGUUAUCUAUUCCACCACAGGGCUACUCGAUGCCCCCCAUCUCAAUGCCUCCCUCUACAUGACCUGGUAUGUCCCAGUAAGCCACCCCUAUUCUAUCAGUAUACGGGUCCCCCACGAUUAUACUGAAAUGCCUCCAUCCGCCUUUUUCAUUUUCACACCGGGUUAUACUACCCCGCUAGCUAUAGCUCGAUGACUCUCUCUGCCUCACGACUGUCAUCUAGUACUCCACUUUCAUCCAGUUCAACUAGAUCACAACUUUCUUUAUCAGCCCGUCCACCAUUUCUCCUCUCAUGUCUUCGCCUUUGAGAUAGUAGCUCUGAACUAGACACCUUACUACGCAUCACUUUGUUGCAUAGGGUCAGGAUGCCCCGCAACCUAGGAAGAUUAACGGUUAUCGGAGGCUCAUCAUCAAACCUGAGGGGUUCGGGUUCAAUCCGGGCCUAGAGACUAUGAAGAUCAUUACAAAUGCCACUGGCGAUCUUUAUGUUGUUGCAUACACGACUUGGGGUGAGACUCCACAACUGCUCAAGCAAUAAAUGUUCAAUGAAUUUAAGAAAAUGUGUGUAUGGCUCCCCCACCAUGAAAGGAAGAUCACUACUAACUUUGAAUAAAAAGCAAGUCAUAGGCUAUCCAACUUGAUUUCAGUUGCUCACGGGAGAGGUGCGAAGCUCACGUGAUGCCAACCACAUAAGUGGAAAGACCUAUGCAGACACUAGAACAAUCAUUAGCAGUUUAAGAAGAAGAUUGAACUGAGAAAGAAAGUCAGAGCCUCUCAGAGUGGUGAGUCCUUGCACACUAGGGGUGUGGUCAGCAUAGAGACAGUUAAGAGGAGACUGGAAAAAACAGGGAAGAAACUAAUUUAAGAUGAGUUAUUCAAGGCCACUCACGUAAGGAAGAAGAAAAGAAACACAGAUCUAGAUACUUGGGUCGAGCCACCGGCUGAUACUACGUACCUUUGUUAAUAUCAAAGUUCUUCCUUGGAGGAGUUCCGCUGGAUUCAACCGACCAGUGAUCUGGGUGAGCCAAUACAAAUUUCAUAUGAGGAUAGUAAGAAAAUUUGGUUGGACACUAUUAGUGGCCCAAGAAAGGGGAGAGCUUACGACCUUUCUGAAGGAGCAUUUCAUCGUUACCAGUCAGGGUUGCAAGACAUAAGAACUUCCUCAGAAGGCUAGGCAAUGGAUAGGGCGAUCAUGAUGUCUAGGAUACCGAAGAUAUUUUGAAAGGAUCAAGGAUCAAUUAUGAGCAUUACUUGCUACCGGGAUAUUUUUGAUUCACGUGCUGAUAAUGCUAUCCCCGAUCUCGAGCUCCAUACGAUCGUCCUGCCCGCGAUCAUCUUGUCUGCGGUCUUAUGGAUGAGGAAGAUUCUUCUAAUAGUUCAGACGAUGUGGUGGUAAACUCCAUUCGACUAGUACUCCUUGAACUAUUUAGUAUUGAUGUUAGUUAGACUAACUCUUAAAUACGGUUUAAUUUUUUUUAUGACUUAUACAUUUGUUUAAGCACCUUAUAUGACUUGUUUAAGUUUCUUAUGACUUGUUGGUGGGUUUUAAUUGAGAACUGAUGGAGUUUUUUUAUUGGAGUUUGAUGCCAUAUGUGUUGGAGAAUGUUAGAUAGUUGUG